rnacentral:piRNA from 1 species
UCUACACCCAGAACCCUGUGUGGUGAC